AUAAACAUAUUUUUACUGGGAAAGAUGAUAUCAAUAUAUUGUGUCUAUUGUAUUUUAUCAGAGUAACUGAAAUUAUUCAACGCAUUCGCGCUUAGUUUGCAAUAGAAUACCCUAUAAGAUGGCUGUGUAUUUUGACGACAAAACCGGUAAAGGUGUGCCUCUCAUCCACGAUUUGGCUCUAGAGUUGUUUAAUGAUGGUAACUAGUACGAAAUAGAAGAUUUAGAUGGCGAAAAUGAUGAUGCUCUUGAGGUUCAAAUAUUUAAAAAUAACACCGAUGACAAGGAUAUUGAAGAAACUGUAUUGGAUGAAGAACCUGUUCCUUCAACGAGCUCUUCUUCAGCAAGGAAGCAAUUUUUGUUUUAUUUUAGUUAGUAUGUAAUAGCAUAUUAAAAAAUUAUAAAAAUAAUUGUUAUUUGGUCCUAAUAGUGUUUUACGUUUAAUAAAAGUGAAUUUUUUCAUACAUUUACGAUCCUGCAUUCAUAGAACAUAAGCCGAGAGUGCACGAACGUGACAUGUCAUUGGUGACAGAUUCAAACUAUGAAUUUUUUUUUCUGCAUUUUUUACACCUUUUUUAGAUACCGUAUAUCGUAUUUAUUCAAAGGGAAACUUCAUUUUCACU
rnacentral:lncRNA from 1 species